UACGGGGGGGGCAAGCGUUGUUCGGAAUUACGGGGCGUAAAGCGCACGUAGGCGGCUUUGUAAGUUAGAGGUGAAAGCCCGGGGCUCAACCCCGGAAUUGCCUUUAAGACUGCAUCGCUAGAAUUGUGGAGAGGUAAGUGGAAUUCCGAGUGUAGAGGUGAAAUUCGUAGAUAUUCGGAAGAACACCAGUGGCGAAGGCGACUUACUGGACACAUAUUGACGCUGAGGUGCGAAGGCGUGGGGAGCAAACAGG
rnacentral:rRNA from 1 species